rnacentral:lncRNA from 1 species
UCUAUGGUUUCCGCGGCUCGCUAGAAGGAGUGCGGUCCACUGGAGGUCUCCCUACAUUCUUCCUCCAUUAUCUCACUGCCUCCGGUGGCUGCUGGGAUACCGGAGGACUCGGGUCCCGGCUCGACUCAGUCCUCCAGCCGCCCGGGGAAUACCUCUAGUUCUUCCCGGCCGCCGCCGCCUCCGCCCCGCCGCUUCCUCCUCCGCCUGCCGGCCUCCUUCGCCCCGCCCCGUCCGCGCAGCUCGUCCGGCCCGCCCGCAGGCCAGCUUCUCUCGGGAGCCUCCACCCAGGCGCAUGGCUCCAUGAAGCAAGAGGAGGAGGCAGAGCGCGAGAGAUCCCGUCCGCCCCAGCCGCGUCUGGGCCAGGAGAAAAGCAAAACCAUAUUCCUGCUGCUGUCAGUUUUGAUGCACUGAGAAAACUUCAGAGACCUAAGCUUUUUCCAGAGAAGAGAAGCUUUACUGGUGUUCCAGCCCUAAGGCUCAUAUGACAUUAACAGACAAGACACUUUUCAGAAAGACAGGCAACGUGUUGGACCUUCCGGAGCUUCUCAGAAGACAGAGGGUUUUCUUUUGAGGCUGUUGUACAGUGGCCUGAUUAUAGCUCACUGUAGCCUCGAAAUUCUGGGCCGAAAUGAUCCGCCUGCCUCAGCCUCCAAAGUAGCUGAGACUACAGGCUGGUCUUGAACUCUUGGGCUGAAGAGAUUCUCCCACCUCAGCCUCCCAAGGUGUUGAGAUUACAAGCAUGAGCCACCUCACCUGGCCAAGAGCUAGUUGUUAAAAGAGCCUAGCACUACCCCCCUCUUUCUUGUUUCCUCUCUCACCAUGUGAUCUCCACACACAUUGGCUUGCCUUCCCUUUCUGACAUGAGCGGAAGCAGCCUGAGGCCCUCACCAGAUGUGGAUGCCAGUGCCAUGCUUCUUGUACAAUCUGCAGAAUCAUAAGCUAAAUACACCUCUUUUCUUUAUAAAUUACCCAGCCUUGGGUAUUCCUUUAUAGCAACACAAACGGAGAAAGACAUAUGCAAUUUGCCAUUUUAAUCAUUUUUAACUGUACAAUUUGGUGGUAUUAAUUAUAUUUACAAUGUUGUGCAACCGUUACCACCAUCUAUUACCAAAGCCCUUUCAUCACCCCAAAUAGAAACUGUGCUUAUUCAGCAAAAACUCCCAUUUUCCUCUCCUUCCAGCCCCUGGUAACCUCUGGUAACCUCUAAUCUACCUCCUGUCUCUAUGAAUUUGCCUAUUGUAAAUAUUUCACAUAAUGGUAUCAUACACUAUCCUUUUGUGUCUAGCUUAUUUAACUUAGCAUAAUGUUUUCAAGGUUCAUCCAUCUUAUAGCAUGUAUCAGUAUUCCAUUCUUCUUUUCUAUGGCUGAAUAAUAAUUGUAUGUAUAUACUGCAUCUUGUUUAUCCAUUUAUCUUUUUGUUUGUUUGUUUUUUAAAGACAGGGUUUUACCAUGUUGGCCAAGCUAGUCUCGAACUCCUGAACUCAGGUGAUCCGCCCACCUUGGCCUCACAAAGUACUGGGAUUACAGGCGUGAGCCAUCGUGCCUGGCCUAUCCGUUUAUCUUUUGAUAGACAUUUUGGUUGUUUCUACCUUUUGUCUAUUGUGAAUAAUGCUGCUAUGAACAUUAGUGUACAAGUCACUGUUUAAGUUGUUGUUUUCAAUUCUUUUGGGUAUUGUAUUAGGCCAUUCUUGCAUUGAUAUAAAGAAAUACCUGAGACUGGGUAAGUGCCAAAGAAAAAAGGGUUUAGUUGGCUCACAUUUCUGCAGUCUGUACAGGAAGCAUAGCAGCAUCUGCUUCCAGGGAGGCUUCAGGAAGCUUCCAAUCAUGAUGGAAGGCAAAGUGGGUGCAGGUAUGUCACGUGGCAAAAGCCAGAGCAAGAGAGGAAGUGGGGAGGUGCUGCACACUUUUAAACAAUCAAAUCUUGUGAGAACUCACAAUCUUGAUGACAGCUAGAGAUGGUGAAGCCACUCAUGAGAAACCACUCCCAUGAUCCAAUCACCUCCCACCAGGCCCCAACUCUAACACCGGAGAUUAAUUACAUUUCAACAUGAGAUUUGCAUAGGAACAAACAGUCAAACUAUAUCCGGUAUAUACUUAAGAGUAGAAUUACUGGGUGAUAAUUCUGUUUUACGUUUUGAGGAAUUGCCAAACUAUCUUCCUCAGCAGUUAAACCAUUUACAUUCCCACCAGCAGUAUACUAGGUUUCCAAUUUCUCCACAUGUUCAACAACACUAGUUAUUUUUUCUUCUAAUUAUAGCCAUUCUAGUAGGUACAAAGUGGUAUCUCAUUGUGGUUUUAGCAUCUUUUGAGUUGCUUAUUGACCAUUUACAUGUCUUUUUUUUAGAGAAGUGUCUAAGUAUUUUGUCCAUUAAAAAAUUGAGUUAUUUAUCUUUU